rnacentral:lncRNA from 10 species
GAAUGACUCCCACAAAGAAGGGUGGCUGGAAGAAAAAGGGCCGUUCCCCCAUCAACGAUGUGGUGACAAGAAUACAUCAUCAACAUUCACAAACACAUCCAUGGAGUGGGCUUGAAGAAGCAUGCCCCUCCAGCACUCAAAGAGAUCUGGAAAUUUGCCAUGAAGAAGACAUGAACUCCAGAUGUGUGCAUUGAUACCAGGCUUAACUAAGCUGUCUGGGCCAAAGGAAUAAAGAAUGUCCCAUAUCGUAUCCAUGUGUGGUUGUCCGGGAAAAGUAACAAAUACUUUUGUUACCUAUGUACCUGUGUACUGGGAUCUUUGGGGUGUUGAUUUUCUUCCCAGAAACCUCUGUGGCUGAUGGCACCCUUGCCUG